GUAGGUGUAGUUUAACUAAAAUAUUAGAUUGUGAUUCUGAAAAUAGGGGUUAAACCCCCCUCCCCUGCC
rnacentral:tRNA from 1 species